AUUGAACGCUGGCGGCAGGCCUAACACAUGCAAGUCGAACGAGUGGCGGACGGGUGAGUAAUGUCUGGGAAACUGCCCGAUGGAGGGGGAUCACUACUGGAAACGGUAGCUAAUACCGCAUACCAUCGGAUGUGCCCAGAUGGGAUUUGCUAGUAGGUGGGGUAACGGCUCACCUAGGCGACGAUCCCUAGCUGGUCUGAGAGGUCGACGAGCGAAACGGGAACAGAGACACGGUCCAGACUCCUACGGGAAGCAGCAGGGGGGAAUAUUGCACAAUGGGGGGAAGCCUGGUGCGGCCAUGCCACGUGUAUAAAGAAGUCCUUCGGGUUGUAAAGUACUUUCAGCGAGGAGGCGUUACUCGCAGAAGAAGCACCGGCUAACUCCGUGCCAGCAGCCGCGGUAAUUC
rnacentral:rRNA from 1 species